CACGCUUUCUGGGUUCACUAGCUCUAAGAACAAUACAGGCCCAGGACUGUUGGUGGUACAUUUGCUACCACCCAGGAAGAGCAUGCCUGAUAACAAAGCUAACAGAAAAAACAAGUAAUGACAAGAGGAGGAGGAGUGCAAAAGAUCAGCUGUCAGAACCAACCGCCUCCAAGUAGCUGUGACGGUGCUUUGGCAGAGAUUCCAUGUUGGUCACCUAGCUCUGGACCGCACAGAGAAACCCAGGACAGUCCUACCAGCUUAAGAUUCUCAGCUGAGUUCACAUGGAGACAUGAACUUGUGAGAUGCUAUCAGAGGAGCAAAGCAAUCUCAACUUUCUCUAAGGAAAACAGAUGACAAUGACAGCUCUGGGUGAAAUUCCCACAUGUAAGACUACAUUGGUGGAGUGAUUUGAAG